AAGACUAUACUUUCAGGGAUCAUUUCUAUAGUUCGUUACUAGAGAAGUUUCUCUGAACGUGUAGAGCACCGAAAACCACGAGGAAGAGACGUAGCGUUUUCUCCUGAGCGUGAAGCCGGCUUUUGGUGUCGCUUCGCUGCGACUGCCGUCAGCCAUUGAUGAUCGUUCUUCUCUUCUUAUUGGAGAGUGAGAGGGAGAGAACGCGGUCUGAGUGGUUUUUCUUUCUUGACGGUUCAAUAGCAGGCAACAGGGUGUGUAAAUCUCGGAUGCUUUCUGCUGAGGUUUCUUUGCUACGGCUGGCGGGCUGGCGUGUCCCCAAGAAACUUUUUCGCUUUCCGCACUGUCAGCGGUGGCUCUUGUCUUUUUUUCGUUCGGGGUGUUUCCCAAAUUUUAGUCUUGGCGUGGGGAGGUCGUGUGUACGUCCUGUUGUCUCUUUUUGCACUUCGCAUUCUGUGCUUUUCGCGCGUCUUUCGUCGUCGUUUCCCGCCCGCCACCCCUACCCCCAGGCGGGGUCUCGGGAUCAUUUGUCUGCCUGGCUCCCAGGAGCCUGGAGUGCGAUGGCGCGAUCUUGAGGCUCAUAGCAACAUCUGCCUCCCGGGC
rnacentral:snoRNA from 1 species